rnacentral:rRNA from 1 species
GUGGGGAAUUUUGGACAAUGGGCGCAAGCCUGAUCCAGCAAUGCCGCGUGCAGGAAGAAGGCCUUCGGGUUGUAAACUGCUUUUGUACGGAACGAAACGGUCCGGGUUAAUACCCUGGGCUAAUGACGGUACCGUAAGAAUAAGCACCGGCUAACUACGUGCCAGCAGCCGCGGUAAUACGUAGGGUGCAAGCGUUAAUCGGAAUUACUGGGCGUAAAGCGUGCGCAGGCGGUUUUGUAAGACAGGCGUGAAAUCCCCGGGCUCAACCUGGGAAUUGCGCUUGUGACUGCAAGGCUGGAGUGCGGCAGAGGUGGAUGGAAUUCCGCGUGUAGCAGUGAAAUGCGUAGAUAUGCGGAGGAACACCGAUGGCGAAGGCAAUCCCCUGGGCCUGCACUGACGCUCAUGCACGAAAGCGUGGGGAGCAUACAGGAUUAGAUACCCUGGUAGUCC